rnacentral:lncRNA from 1 species
UUUGAAACAUGGGAAUGGAGGUGAUUUUAAUAGCGUUAUAAAACCUUUUUAAUCUGAAUACCUUAUUCGUAUAAAACUAUUUUCCUUUAAAAAAUCAAAUACGUGACGUAAAUAUAAUAGAAAAUUGAAUUUAUGAAAAAACAAUCCGUUAUUCUUGUUUCAUGAGAAUCCUUAUACGAUUUUAAAUCAAAAUUUCUGAUUGUUGUUUUAUAAUGGAACCCAAAUCAGUUUUGAUAAUUUUUAUGUUUUUAUCUUUCCACUAAAUUUUUCAGUGUGUUCGAAAAAAACAGAAAUUAAAAAAAAAUAAUUGAUAUGAAUAAAAGGAUUUUAAAAUGAUGAAAAGACGGCAUAUUUUUUUGUUAUGCAUAGCGAGGAAAGAAAUAGAUAAACGCGAUUACGAAUUGUUAAGGUUUAAUCGGAACGGUCCGGUUGAAUGUGAAUUGUUAGUCCAUGAAUAAACCCUCCAGUUGUAGCGAUCUGGCGGUUGGCCAGUUAGGUGAUUGGAUCUUCACCCAUUACACUUAUGCCUAAACCCACAAUUAGUAUUUUACUUCCCGAAGCCAUUAUGUGAUGUGUUUUAAUAAGUUGUUUUGUAAAAACAAUUUUCAAAACACUUGGAUCAUUAGUCAAGAACAAAUGGAUAUCGAAGACAAAGUGAUCUCAAAGACUUUUAUAAUCAAUAUUCCGCCGUAAUGCGUGAAUGACGUUAACUCGUUAUAUACAACAACUAAAAGGCUAUGUUUUGUUAAUAUUGUUAUUGUCAUAAUAUUAAGUUGAUAUGAGGCUU